rnacentral:tmRNA from 1 species
GGGGCCGAUUAGGAUUCGACGCCGGUAACAAAACUUGAGGGGCAUGCCGAGCUGGUAGCAGAACUCGUAAAUUCGCUGCUGCAAACUUAUAGUUGCCAACGACGACAACUACGCUCUAGCUGCUUAAUGCGGCUAGCAGUCGCGAGGGGAUGCCUGUAAACCCGAAACGACUGUCAGAUAGAACAGGAUCGCCGCCAAGUUCGCUGUAGACGUAACGGCUAAAACUCAUACAGCUCGCUCCAAGCACCCUGCCACUCGGGCGGCGCGGAGUUAACUCAGUAGAGCUGGCUAAGCAUGUAGAACCGAUAGCGGAGAGCUGGCGGACGGGGGUUCAAAUCCCCCCGGCUCCACCA